rnacentral:rRNA from 1 species
UACGUAGGGUGCAAGCGUUGUCCGGAAUUAUUUGGGCGUAAAGAGCUACGUAGGCGGUCUGUCGCGUCGGCUGUGAAAACCCGAGGCUCAACCUCGGGCCUGCAGUCGAUACGGGCAAACUAGAGUACUGCAGGGGAGACUGGAAUUCCUGGUGUAGCGGUGAAAUGCGCAGAUAUCAGGAGGAACACCGGUGGCGAAGGCGGGUCUCUGGGCCGAUACUGACGCUGGAGGAGCGAAAAGCCGUGGGGGAGCGAAACAGG